rnacentral:rRNA from 1 species
AACGAACGCUGGCGGCAUGCCUAACACAUGCAAGUCGAACGAAGCCUUCGGGCUUAGUGGCGCACGGGGGCGUAACGCGUGGGAAUCUGCCCCUUUCUUCGGUAUAACAGUUAGAAAUGACUGCUAAUACCGGAUGAUGUCUUCGGACCAAAGAUUUAUCGGCAAGGGAUGAGCCCGCGUAGGAUUAGGUAGUUGGUGGGGUAAAGGCCUACCAAGCCGACGAUCCUUAGCUGGUCUGAGAGGAUGAUCAGCCACACUGGGACUGAGACACGGCCCAGACUCCUACGGGAGGCAGCAGUGGGGAAUAUUGGACAAUGGGGGAAACCCUGAUCCAGCAAUGCCGCGUGAGUGAUGAAGGCCUUAGGGUUGUAAAGCUCCUUUACCAGGGAUGAUAAUGACAGUGCCUGGAGAAUAAGCUCCGGCUAACUCCGUGCCAGCCGCCGCGGUAAAAC